UCUGGACGGGGAAGGAUGCAUAAAUGAAUUAUCUGUGAUUCCAGGUCUUGGCUGCACUGAUAACUUCUAAACAAAGGAAUCAGUCAUGAAGUUUAUGAAACUUGGUUGCCCUGAUAACUUCUCACGCUAUAAGAAGUGCCGAGUUAAAUGAACAUUUGAAGCUUAUAUAUGCCUGGAGGGACAGAAUUUCCACUCUACAAAGCACGAAGGUGAUGACCUUUCAGAUCAGUACACAAAUGAGCUUCUGGGCUGUUGUAUGAGGUAAAAGUGCUCGAACCUCUUGGGACAGUCACUUCUGGCUGUCAGUUCUUGGAGCCAGAUGGUAAUACUGAACUCUAGCUAACUCCUGAUUAUUUGACAAAAACUUGUUCUCGUAUUAGCUGAGUUUCUGAACCACAUUCCAAACCCAGAGGAAAAAAUAGCCAUGAAAGCUAUCACCCCAGCAGUCCUUGAUAACAAGGCUCAUUUGGGAAUCAUCUUUGAUACAGACGUUGAUGGGUAGUUUUUCGUGACCCUUGAAUCUAUAUUAAUUAUUUCCUAAUUUAUUUCAUUGUUCUUAUAAGUGCUUUUAGAUCUGCUGCUGUGGACUCUACUGGCAUUGAGUUCAAACAGAAUCUUCCAUUGUUCUUGAGGAAGCAAGCUAGAAUUCUUCUUAUUGCAUUACGGAUGACAAUUACAUUAUUUUCUCUCAUUAUACUCGUAUCCUUCUCCCCUCAUCAGUUUGACCUUUGGUGCAAACAACGCAGCCUGUGAAGAUCAAGCGUCAUCUUCAUUUAAUUUGGAGGGGUUGACAAGCUCAACACAUGUCAUUAUCCUAUUUCAGCUCCACUUCAGUUCCUACAGAGCUACAGUGCCUGGGGUCGAAAAAGACUGUUCUGCCCUCCUUUGAGAGCUGUGUAUCGAUGGAUCUUCUUCUCUCUUCUAGAGGGCAUCCCUCCCUCACACCCAAGUCAAAAUCCACCUCAAAACCCAAAAAGAGCAAAAGAGAGAGUUGUGAGCAGCAAGAACAGUGUUGACGACCAUAGCUUGACUUGGUUUGUUUAAAUCUCGGACUCCUCCUCCUCCUCUGCAAAUCAGCUCAGAGAAAGAGGCGAGAUGAAAGAAAGGGAGAAGAGAACCCGGGAAGAAGGAAGAGAAGGAGAAGAGACAAACCGGAAGCUCUUGACUAAAACAACACAAGUGGAAGUUUCGCAGCAGAAGAUAGUUUCUCUGUACGAGAGGUUCUGUCAGCUCGAUCACAGUGGCGGAGGUUUCAUCUUCGCCGACGAGUUUUUUGUCUGUACCGGAAUUCGCAGUCAAUCCUCUCUCUCAGUUUUGGCUGGGUGGACGUAGAUACUGGGGGAGAGAUGGAGCAAGACCAUACUUGCUCUCAGGAGAUGCUUCUGUAUCAACACCCAAUUUCCGUUUCUCAUCAGAGAGAUUUGAUCAAACAACAAAGCUACUUAGUUUUGGGGUGACUUGCUCUUAGGAGAUGCUUCUGUAUCAACACCCAAUUUCCUUUUCUCAUCAGAGACAUUUGAUCAAACAACAAAGCUACUUAGUUUUGGGGUGAAUUCAGAAAGAUAUUCAAGGGAGGAUUGGCAAAGAACAAGCGGUUCUUUGCUUUGCUCAGCUCACUGGCAUUGGUAAGCUUGUUCUUUGCUUUGCUCAGCUCACUGGCAUUGAUGCAGAGAGGGAAACUCUAUGUUGGAUAUUAUGUGGCUGUGAAGGGGUUCUCUGCUUUGCUUAUCAGCAUUGCAACAUUUCUCCCAUGUUGUGAGAGUCAUGGAUAAAUGUUACUUCAGAGAAUAAAGAUGGUUUUUCCUUUUCACAGAGACGAAGGAGCUGGUGAUAGUUUUUCUUGGAGAAAUUGAGCUCAUUUGAACAAAUAAGAAUAUCCCAUUGAGCUGGCACCCAUUUGAUCAAAUUGGGGGAUUUGAUUGAGCAAUCAGAGAUCUUUGAAGGAUUGAGCUCUGGUGUGAUUGUGGAAUCCCUGAAGGUGGUUAGCUUGCAAGGAUUUGCCUCAAUUUUGGAGCCUAACCUCUGCAGAAUUAUUUACGGCCCUGGGAUGUGUUGAAUUGGCGUUUCUGUUCUUGCUACCUUGGUCAAUUACAGUUUGCCAUCGUCUUCUGUUUUUGAUGACAAAGAGUGAGGGACCGUUGGUAUUAUUGGUUAGAUCGCCGCUAUCUGAUAGUGAGAGGAGAGAAAACAGAGAGAGAGAGAGGGAGAGAGUGAGAGUUCAGUUGAUAAGAGUCCAUGGAUCUGCAGAUGAGUCCACUUUAGUUGAAGAUGCAUUUGAGUCUGCCAAUGAAUUAGAUCAGUGCUAAACCCCCAUUGUAGAAACUUGAUACCAGCUUGCUUAAAAUAUCAGGUAUCAUUUAAUUGUGAAAGAAAGCUUUGGAGGAGAACAUAAUUGUGUAUCUGGAAACUGGUUGUGGAAAGACCUAAAUAGCCGUGUUGCUUAUGUAUGAACCAGUUGAUACUCAAACCUCAGAAGAACAUGUGUGCUAAAUCCUGAAGAUCUUUGUGGUAUAUAUGGAUCAAAUUGCUCCCAAUGGAUUAUUGCAAUGGAGUAUUAGAAAGAAUGUGGCUAUCAUGAAGCCUCAUGAAGCAGCCAAAUUAGUUGCAGAAUGAGAUUUUUCAUGUAAAAGGACACUCCCCUGAACUGAAAGAUUGAGUUUGCAAUACACCUGUUACAAGUUUUUCGUCGUUUAUAUUGCCGGGCAUACCAUUGGAAGCAUGGUAGGAAAUGUCAUGGAAUUUUCUGGCUUCAGCCAUCCGAGACAAGUUCGUCUUAGCAGGAGUACAACAUUUCUUUGAUUCUGUUGGAAAGUCAAUCUCCAAUGAGAGCUUCAAGGCUUGAUGGAAUAGAGCCGUAGACAGCGACAGAGAGAGCUAAGGAAACGACCUCGCAGCUUUCAAGUUUUGAGCUGCUUAACCAAAACAGAGCUUGCAGCGAUGGAGACAGAAACGGCGGCGAUUCUAAGCGACCUAGGGAGGAAUCAGUGAAUGAAUGUUGCAAGAAGAACUGAGUUAGUUCAAGCUAUUGCAAAUAAACUUUUCAAUUGGCCUUCGACUAUGGACUCUUUGCUUCGUCUACGGCUAGGAAUUUCAUCUGCUUUCAUUUUUCUUAAGCCCCAUCAAAGUAACAAUCUUUAAAAGGGAUUUUAGAAGAAUGGACUAAGAAGAACUUUCUUCUGGAUAACAAUCGAAUCAAACGAUUUUCUUAGUAACUACUUGGUGCCAGUUAUAACUGAGUUGAGAGGAAGUUGAUACCUGUGGAAACCUUUGUUGACAUUUUGAUUAGACUAUACAAAUUUGGGUGCAACUGUGCAAAGAAGAUGGUUGUGAUAAAUUUAGGACCUAUUGAAUGUAUACCCUUUCAGAGGGAAGUAAAUCUGCUAGCUAAUCCAGAUAAGUAUGCUGAAUUCCCAAAUCAAUUGGCACAGUCAUUCAACUCCAAGCUAAGGACCAAUAUAAUGAGCCUUAGAAUCUUAUAAACCUAUCACCGAAAACCAAAUAAGCUAUAUGUCCAAUUUCAGUUCAAUCACACCAAUUUGGAUAUUGUGUUGAUUUGAAAGAAGGUGAUGAAGGGCUUUGUUAAUGAUUAUCUCUCUCUCUCUCUCUCUUGAAAGUGGAAAAUGAUUGUUAUGGAAUAUGGUUAAAGUUUAGACUAGAUGCAUAACCUUUUACUUUCUUUUUUCUCCAACAAAGGGUGCCUUUGGAUGUGCAACACUACUUGAUAAAAGCCUACCAAUUGAAGAGGGUGAUGCUCGCUAUAUGCCUUCAGAGAUCCUGAAUGAGAAACAUGACGAUCUUGACAAGGCUGAUAUCUUCUCAUUGGGAGUUGCUAUGUAUGAGCCUAUUAGAGGUUCACCGUUACCGGAAGAAGGGCCUCAAACCUUAAAUCUUAAGAAAGGAAAAUUGCCACUGCUUCCUGGUCACUCCUUGCAACUUCAGAACUUGCUCAAGGCCAUGUUGGAUCCAAAUCCAGUCUGCAGACCAUCAGCUAAAGAGUUGGUUGAAAAUCUAAUGUUCCACAGGGUGCUAAAAAAUGUAUGGGCCUGGGACAACCACGAUUGCGAAUUGAAGAGAUUGGGGUAUAUUGUAUUAUAGUAUAUGUCAUCCUUUUGUGUCUGCCAGCCCAGUAAAAUAGGCAAAAGUAUGUGAAUGGCCAAUUUUGUAUCUAUAAUUCUCCCUCAUGUAUUAAUAUGCACCUAAUUUGAUAUUGAAAAACAAUUGCACAGCUAAAGAGAGAAGAACCAAUGUGAUGUUGAUUUCAUUCGAUAGAAA